rnacentral:rRNA from 1 species
AUUGAACGCUGGCGGCAUGCCUUACACAUGCAAGUCGAACGGCAGCACGGGAGCAAUCCUGGUGGCGAGUGGCGAACGGGUGAGUAAUAUAUCGGAACGUGCCCGGUCGUGGGGGAUAACGUAGCGAAAGCUACGCUAAUACCGCAUACGAUCUACGGAUGAAAGCGGGGGAUCGCAAGACCUCGCGCGAUUGGAGCGGCCGAUAUCAGAUUAGGUAGUUGGUGAGGUAAAGGCUCACCAAGCCGACGAUCUGUAGCUGGUCUGAGAGGACGACCAGCCACACUGGGACUGAGACACGGCCCAGACUCCUACGGGAGGCAGCAGUGGGGAAUUUUGGACAAUGGGCGCAAGCCUGAUCCAGCAAUGCCGCGUGCAGGAUGUAGGCCU